rnacentral:rRNA from 1 species
CUCGUAGGCGGGGGCGUGCGUCCGAAAGGAAAUCUCAAGGCUCAACCUUGGGGGCUUUUUUCGGAUACGGCGCUUCUUGAGGGUGAGAGAGGAAAGCGGAAUUCCAGGUGUAGCGGUGAAAUGCGUAGAUAUCUGGAGGAACACCAGCGGCGAAGGCGGCUUUCUGGCUCAUUCCUGACGCUGAGGAGCGAAAGCGUGGGUAGCGAACG